rnacentral:rRNA from 1 species
UACGUAGGGUGCGAGCGUUGUCCGGAAUUAUUGGGCGUAAAGGGCUCGUAGGCGGUUUGUCACGUCGGGAGUGAAAACCUUGGGCUUAACUCAGGGCUUGCUUUCGAUACGGGCAGACUAGAGGUAUGCAGGGGAGAACGGAAUUCCUGGUGUAGCGGUGAAAUGCGCAGAUAUCAGGAGGAACACCGGUGGCGAAGGCGGUUCUCUGGGCAUGUCCUGACGCUGAGGAGCGAAAGUGUGGGGAGCGAACAGG